rnacentral:rRNA from 1 species
GACGAACGCUGGCGGCGUGCUUAACGCAUGCAAGUCGAACGGAAAGGCCCUGCUUUUGUGGGGUGCUCGAGUGGCGAACGGGUGAGUAACACGUGAGUAACCUGCCCUUGACUUUGGGAUAACUUCAGGAAACUGGGGCUAAUACCGGAUAUGAGCUCCUGCUGCAUGGUGGGGGUUGGAAAGUUUCGGCGGUUGGGGAUGGACUCGCGGCUUAUCAGCUUGUUGGUGGGGUAGUGGCUUACCAAGGCUUUGACGGGUAGCCGGCCUGAGAGGGUGACCGGCCACAUUGGGACUGGGAUACGGCCCAGACUGCUACGGGAGGCAGAAGUGGGGAAUAUUGCACAAUGGGCGGAAGCCUGAUGCAGCAACGCCGCGUGCGGGAUGACGGCCUUCGGGUUGUAAACCGCUUUCGCCUGUGACGAAGCGUGAGUGACGGUAAUGGGUAAAGAAGCACCGGCUAACUACGUG